AGUCGCCAUUUUUUUCCCCCAACACUCGUAGUCGGAAAAACCAGACGCUGGUGAUGGGGGAAAGACAAGCCACGCCCACGGCGCCAGAGAGGCUUGUGGUGGGGGUUUGUUUUGACAGGCCAUACCUGCCACUAUACUACUAAACAGAUAUGUCCACUAUUUAUGCUAUUAUUAUGGUAGGAAAUACUAUAGGAACAAAUAUUCCUUUCGAAAAAUUAUUUGAUUAUGUAGAACGAGUAGACCAGAAUAUUUGCGACAAGAAUUCAAGGAACACCAGAUAAAGUUUAAUAUGAUUGCACAAAAAAUUAUUUAUAUUUUGAUGUUUCCUGAAACGUUUGAAAUGAUUAUGCAAUUGAUUGAGCCAGCUUUAACUCUAACAAAUACAACAGGAAGAAAACAAAUAUCGGCAGAAAAACAAUUAUUAAUAACAUUAUAGUUUUUAGCUACUCCAGAUUCUUAUAGAUCAAUACAUGUCCAAUUUGGUGUUGGAAAAGCAACAGCAUUCAGAGCAGUAAGAAGGGUAACUUAUGCCUUGCAUUGUUUUGCACCAAGAUUCAUUCGAGUGGCCAAAAAAUGAAGUGCUACACCGUACUAUUGAAGAAUUUGCGAAAGCAAGGUUUUCCUAAUGUAAUCGGAGCCCUUGAUAGAUCAUAUAUUAGAAUUAGAGCUUCAAAGGAAAAUCCUGCUUCAUACAUAUGCAGGAAACAAUUUCAUGUGAUUCACUUGCAAGCGGUAUGUAAUGCAAAAACAGUUUUUAUUCACUGCUAUGCAGGACAUGUCGGCUCAGUACAUGAUGCAAGAGUGUUGAGAAAUUCUGCAUUUGCAGAAUUACAUUGAAAUGCCAAAUGAAUACUUUCCUUUCGAUACUCAUUAUAGCAGAUUCUGCAUAUGCAAUUUUUCCGCAUUUAAUGGUUCUAUUUAAAGAUAAUGGCCAUCUCACAGCACUUCAAAAAAAUUAUAACUUUUGUUUGUUAUCAACCAGGAUGACCAUAGAGCGAGCGUUUGGAUUAUUAAGGGUUCCGUAUUUUGUUAGAUUGCUUACUCCUGACUGAUAUAAAAAAAAAAUACAAAUUAUAUUAGCUUGUUGCGUUCUCCAUAAUAUUUGCACUCUAAGAAAUGGUGAGUUUCCAGAUGUAGUAUAUUGUCACGUCCUGGGCUUCAAAUUCUGCGCGUUUACGCGCGUUCACGAGUACGCAUAGUGGAGGAAACCUGAGCAAGCGGGGCCGAGCGGUAGAACACGCGUGGUCAGGAGUAGGGGAAGAACGCGCGAGGACAGGAUAACAGAUGGAAUACGGAGAUUGGGAAGUAUUUUAAUAAUUAAAAUGUAUAAUUAGUUAGUACUUACUACCGUAAUA